rnacentral:rRNA from 1 species
UAGGGAAUCUUCCGCAAUGGGCGAAAGCUUGACGGAGCAACGCCGCGUGAGUGAUGAAGGUCUUCGGAUCGUAAAACUCUGUUAUUAGGGAAGAACAAAUGUGUAAGUAACUAUGCACGUCUUGACGGUACCUAAUCAGAAAGCCACGGCUAACUACGUGCCAGCAGCCGCGGUAAUACGUAGGUGGCAAGCGUUAUCCGGAAUUAUUGGGCGUAAAGCGCGCGUAGGCGGUUUUUUAAGUCUGAUGUGAAAGCCCACGGCUCAACCGUGGAGGGUCAUUGGAAGCUGGAAAACUUGAGUGCAGAAGAGGAAAGUGGAAUUCCGUGUGUAGCGGUGAAAUGCGCAGAGAUAUGGAGGAACACCAGUGGCGAGGGCGACUUUCUGGUCUGUAACUGACGCUGAUGUGCGAAAGCGUGGGGAUCAAACAGG